rnacentral:rRNA from 1 species
GACGAACGCUGGCGGCGUGCUUAACACAUGCAAGUCGAGCGGAGCGGCGAACGGGUGAGUAACGCGUGAGUAACUGCCCCCCUCUCUGGGAUAACAGUUGGAAACGGCUGCUAAUACCGGAUAGUGGGGGAUGACUCGCGUCCUAUCAGCUUGUUGGUGGGGUAGUGGCCUACCAAGGCGACGACGGGUAGCCGGCCUGAGAGGGCGACCGGCCCAAUGGGGCUGGGGUACGGCCCAAAUUCCUACGGGGGCCAGCAGGGGGGAAAGUGCCCAAAUGGGGGAACCCCGGAGGAGGCAACGCCGGUGGGGAAGGACGGCCUUCGGUUUGUAAACGGCUUCAGCCAUGACGCGGUAGUGGCAGAAGAAGCACCGGCUAACUACGUGCCAGCCGCCGCGGUAAUAC